rnacentral:rRNA from 1 species
GUGGGGAAUAUUGCACAAUGGGGGAAACCCUGAUGCAGCCAUGCCGCGUGUGUGAAGAAGGCCUUCGGGUUGUAAAGCACUUUCAGCGAGGAGGAAAGGUUGAUGCCUAAUACGUAUCAACUGUGACGUUACUCGCAGAAGAAGCACCGGCUAACUCCGUGCCAGCAGCCGCGGUAAUACGGAGGGUGCAAGCGUUAAUCGGAAUUACUGGGCGUAAAGCGCACGCAGGCGGUUGGAUAAGUUAGAUGUGAAAGCCCCGGGCUCAACCUGGGAAUUGCAUUUAAAACUGUCCAGCUAGAGUCUUGUAGAGGGGGGUAGAAUUCCAGGUGUAGCGGUGAAAUGCGUAGAGAUCUGGAGGAAUACCGGUGGCGAAGGCGGCCCCCUGGACAAAGACUGACGCUCAGGUGCGAAAGCGUGGGGAGCAAACAGG